ensembl:lncRNA
GCAGACUUCUCAAUAGCAGCAAUGAAAAUCAGAAAAUAGUGCAAUGAUACCUUCAAAGGGUGGGCUAAAAUCUGUCAGUGCUGAAUUAAUACCCAGGAAAAAUGAUCUUUUGUGCAUGAUGGUGAAACAAAGGCAUUUUCAUAUAAACAGAGAGUUUAGUAAAGGCUGUACUUCAAGAAAAAUAAUGAUAUCAAAAAGAAGGUCUAAAUCACAAAAAGAAAUAUUGAGAAAAAAUUGGUGAUGAUGUGAGUAAAUCCAUAAAAUUAAGGCAAAACAAUAAUGUAUAACUUGUGGUAUUUUUAAAAAGUAUUACAGUGAAAAUACUAAGCAAUAAUUGCAUGAGAGUAAGUACAGGUUUAGCAAGGUUGCUGGAUACAAAAUCAAUAUACAAAGGUCAUAAAUAAAUAAAUUCCACAAGUAUGGGGUGGAACAAAAGCCCCAAACAAACUAACUUAACAGUAUUUCAGAUAAAUAACACGACCACUUUAGGGGUUGGGAGUGGAGACAGAACUAACCCAGGAAAUUUCUGAACACAAUAUUUUGAUUAACCUAGACUUAAACUAGCUGUAAACAAAUUGUGUACUCUAGGUAGCAGGUAUAUUUUUUACAGGGGUUUGGAUAAAAAGUUCUGCAGCUGCUUUAUGUGUAUUGGCUCCUUCCUUCACUAUCCAUCCUAAGUUCUUCUCACCCUCAGAUAUCACGUCUGCUAGUCCUGUUGGCUUACUUGGUGAUGUCAGUGAAACCCUCAUUACUGUGAAACCUGAGUCCCUGGCAACCAUACACACCUCGGUUUGGGGUUGCUGCACUUGUCCAUUCACAAUUAAAAUGGAGCAAGGCAAGGGACUACCAGGAGUUGUCCAAAUGGAUUACCUAAGCUCCAUUCAUAUCUCAUCUUGUCCCUGUUUUGUAACACCAGCCCAUAGGGACUUGGCAUAAACUCUACAAUACCUAUUUUCUCACCCUUAUUCUUCCCACUCCAUAGGGUCUGCUGGAUCAUAUGGUUUAAGCAACAGAACUGUUUUCACCUCCUGGAUCUGUUGAAAAGAGUCCUUUCCUGUUCCACGACUUAUUCAAAGGUGGCAGACUUCCCUGACUCCAGCUGGAUGGAAAAUUCUUCUUGAAAGAACAGCCAAGAGACACAGAUGGUUCUUUUCAAAAUGGUGCUGGGACAAUAGGAUACCCAUAUAGAAAAAAAAAAAAAAAGAAAGAAAUUGGAUCCUUACUUCAAUGAAUACCCCAAGGUCAGUACAAGUAGAAGAUACAUCUAAAUUUGAAGGGCAAAUUAUGCUUUUGUGAUGUAAAUGAUUGUGUUCACAACUUUGGGAUGGUGAAGAAUCUUAAACAGCACGCAAAACUAUUAACCAUAAAAGAAAAAAUUAAGACUUUGACUACAUUAAAAUUAAACAUUUCAUUAAAAGUUACCAUUAAGAGAAUUAAAAAUUAAUCCAUACAAUAGCAGAGAUAUUUGUAUUAUACACGUAGCAAAUAAAGUUCUAGGACUUGGGACAUAUACCAAGCUGCUGGAAUAUGAUAAGAAAAAAUUUUUAAUGGGUAAAAAGUAAUAAACAGUUACUUCACAAAAGUAGAAAACCAAAUGGCCAAUAAAUACGUGAAAAUGUCCUUAACUUCAUCAGAGAAAUGCAAAAUAAAACCAUUAUGAGAUACCACCACAUCUACCAGAAAUGGCUGAUGUUGUUUUUUAAUCCUUACAAUACCAACCAUUGGUAGGGAUGUGGAACAACAGGAAUUCUGACACACUGCUAGUGGAGAUAUAAUUUGAUUUAACCAUUUCAAAAAAGUUUGGCAUUAUCUAGUGGAUUUAAAGCUAAUGCAUUUUCUGUGGACCAGCAAUUCCACUUCUAUGUAUACACCCAACAGAAGUUUGUAAAUAUGUUCAUCAAAAGACAUGUACAAGAAAGUUCUUAGCAACACUGUUUUAACAGCCCUCACACUUGAAUAACCCAAGAUGUUGACCAGCAGUAGAAAAGAUAAAAAAUUGUGAUAUUUCCAAACAAUGGAAAACAUUCAGCA